UACGUAGGGGGCAAGCGUUGUCCGGAUUUAUUGGGCGUAAAGAGCGUGUAGGCGGCUUGGUAGGUCCGCUGUGAAAACUCGAGGCUCAACCUCGAGAUGUCGGCGGAAACCACUUGGCUAGAGUCCGGAAGAGGAGAGUGGAAUUCCCGGUGUAGCGGUGAAAUGCGCAGAUAUCGGGAAGAACACCUAUGGCGAAGGCAGCUGCUCUGGGACGGUACUGACGCUGAAGACGCGGAAAGCGUGGGGAGCGAACAGG
rnacentral:rRNA from 1 species